rnacentral:rRNA from 1 species
UUGAUCCUGGCUCAGGACGAACGCUGGCGGCGUGCCUAAUACAUGCAAGUCGAGCGAACCACUUCGGUGGUUAGCGGCGGACGGGUGAGUAACACGUGGGCAACCUGCCUGUAAGACUGGGAUAACUUCGGGAAACCGGAGCUAAUACCGGAUAAUCCUUUUYCUCUCAUGAGGAAAAGCUGAAAGUCGGUUUCGGCUGWCACUUACAGAUGGGCCCGCGGCGCAUUAGCUAGUUGGUGAGGUAACGGCUCACCAAGGCGACGAUGCGUAGCCGACCUGAGAGGGUGAUCGGCCACACUGGGACUGAGACACGGCCCAGACUCCUACGGGAGGCAGCAGUAGGGAAUCUUCCACAAUGGACGAAAGUCUGAUGGAGCAACGCCGCGUGAGCGAUGAAGGCCUUCGGGUCGUAAAGCUCUGUUGUUAGGGAAGAACAAGUACCGGAGUAACUGCC